UAGACCGGCCGGGGGAGAGAGCCAGGGAGGGACACAGGAGACGCGCGAUGCGCUCCAUGUCCCUCCAACACAAGGUCUGCAGGCUUUGAAGCUUUAUUGUGUCACUUGCUCAGAAUGAUUACAAGGUUCCAGCUCCUGUUUCAAGACUUCCACCAUAGAGACCCGCACCAGCAUUCCACCUGCGGUGUAGCCUGACUCUCCAAUCCAUUGUGGAUUCAUCUGUUUCCAGCUACAACAUUACCUGCUUCCAGCUCAGCUUCCAGCAGAGUACAGCUUCCCUUAAAGGGCCGGUGUCCUUUCUACACUUUACCACUCUCCACCGGUAUUAUUAUUUCUCCGCUCUCAAGUUCUACAUUUCAGUUCAUAUUUCAUCGCUCCCAAGUUCAUUUAUUAUUUAACUGGUUCCAGCCAGUAUCCACUCUGUGCUAACAACAGUCUGGUUCCAGCCAGUAUCCACAGCAGCUGUUUUAUCUUCAGCAACCCAGCUUUUCCUGGAACACCAGCUGGCACAAUCCUGGGUUAUCUCCAUUGCUACAGUCGGGCCUGGUAAGGACUUUCCAUCUAGAAGAUCAUAAGAACUAUCUCACACUACCAGUGCCCUGUGGCUCCUGCCAUCCUGUAGUA